rnacentral:rRNA from 1 species
AGUGGAUGGGGAGCAACCUAGUUGUGCGUGUGUAAAGGUAGUGCCAAGAAAAGCGGUGAUCAUGAUGAAAAUCAAUUCCCGGUACCCGAAACCGACACAGGUGGGCAAGUAGAGAAUACUAAGGGGCGCGAGGUAACUCUCUCCAUGGAACUCGGCAAAAUGACCCCGUAACUUAGGGAGAAGGGGUGCCACCGAGAGGUGGUCGCAGUGAAGAGGCCCAGGCGACUGUUUAGCAAAAACAUAGGUCUCUGCAAACUCGAAAGAGGAGGUAUAGGGGCUGACGCCUGCCCAGUGCCGGAAGGUUAAAGAAGUUGGUCAGUCUUAGGAUGAAGCUAGCGACUGAAGCCCCGGUGAACGGCGGCCGUAACUAUAACGGUCCUAAGGUAGCGAAAUUCCUUGUCGGGUAAGUUCCGACCCGCACGAAAGGCGUAACGAUCUGGGCGCUGUCUCGGAGAGAGGCUCGGCGAAAUAGGAUUGUCUGUGAAGAUACGGACUACCUGCAUUUGGACAGAAAGACCCUAUGAAGCUUUACUAUAGCUUGGAAUUGUGUUCGGGCUUCCUGUGCGCAGGAUAGGUGGGAGGCGUAGAAGGUAUUCUUGUGGGGAUACUGGAGCCAACGGUGAGAUACCACUCUCAGGAGGCUAGAAUUCUAACUUAAUUAAGGACAGUUUCAGGUGGGUAGUUUGACUGGGGCGGUCGCCUCCAAAAAGGUAACGGAGGCGUACAAAGGUUCCCUCAGACUGGUUGGAAAUCAGUCGAAGAGUGCAAAGGCAGAAGGGAGCUUGACUGCGAGAAGUACAGUUCGAGCAGGGUGGAAACACGGUCUUAGUGAUCCGACGGUGCUGUGUGGAAGGGCCGUCGCUCAACGGAUAAAAGUUACUCUAGGAUAACAGGCUGAUCUCCCCCAAGAGUUCACAUCGACGGGGAGGUUUGGCACCUCGAUGUCGGCUCAUCGCAACCUGGGGCGGAAGUACGUCCCAAGGGUUGGGCUGUUCGCCCAUUAAAGCGGUACGUGAGCUGGGUUCAGAACGUCGUGAGACAGUUCGGUCCAUAUCCGAUGUAGGCGUGAGAAUAUUGAGAGGAGCCUUCCUUAGUACGAGAGGACCGGAAAGGACGCACCGCUGGUGUACCUGUUAUGAUGCCAAUUGUAAACGCAGGGUAGCCAAGUGCGGAGAGGAUAACCGCUGAAAGCAUCUAAGUGGGAAGCCCACCUCAAGAUGAGUAUUCUGGUGUAAGGUCACGGGAAGACGACCCGUAAAUAGGCACGAGGUGGAAGUGCAGUGAUGUAUGAAGCCGAAGUGUACUAAUAGACCGUCGGCUUGACCAG